rnacentral:hammerhead_ribozyme from 1 species
AUUCUACUAGUCCCAAAUAGGACGAAACGCGCGUCAAACUGGAU